rnacentral:tRNA from 1 species
GCGAUUAUAGCUCAGCUGGUUAGAGCGCUCGGUUGUGGUCCGAGAGGUCAUGGGUUCGAAUCCCAUUAAUCGCCCUCCA